rnacentral:rRNA from 1 species
CCUACGGGAGGCUGCAGUGGGGAAUAUUGCACAAUGGGGGAAACCCUGAUGCAGCAACGCCGCGUGAGUGAAGAAGUAUUUCGGUAUGUAAAGCUCUAUCAGCAGGGAAGAAGAUGACGGUACUUGAGUAAGAAGCCCCGGCUAACGACGUGCCAGCAGCCGCGGUAAUACGUAGGGGGCAAGCGUUAUCCGGAUUUACUGGGUGUAAAGGGAGCGCAGACGGUGAGACAAGUCUGAAGUGAAAGCCCGGGGCUCAACCCCGGGACUGCUUUGGAAACUGCCUGACUGGAGUGCUGGAGAGGCAAGCGGAAUUCCUAGUGUAGCGGUGAAAUGCGUAGAUAUUAGGAAGAACACCAGUGGCGAAGGCGGCUUACUGGACAGUAACUGACGUUGAGGCUCGAAAGCGUGGGGAGCAAACAGGAUUAGAUACCCCAGUAGUC